CGCGAAUGGCUCAUUAUAACAGCUAUAAUUUACUUGAUCUUGACACAAUCCUACUUGGAUAACUGUGGUAAUUCUAGAGCUAAUACAUGCAUUAAAGCUCUGACCUCACGGGAAGAGUGCAUUUAUUAGAACAAAACCAAGCGGCUUCGGCUGUUUCUGGUUGACUCAUAGUAACUGAGCUGAUCGCAUGGUCUUGCACCGGCGACGUGUCUUUCAAGUAUCUGCCGUAUCAACUUUCGAUGGUAGUGUAUCUGACUACCAUGGUGAUCACGCGUAACGGAGAAUAAGGGUUCGGCUCCGGAGAGUUCGCCUGAGAAAUCGCGAACACAUCUAAGGAAGGCGGCAGGCGCGAAAAUUACCCACUCUCAGCACGAGGAGGUAGUGACGAAAAAUAACGAGACCGUUCUCUUAUGAGGCCGGUCAUCGGAAUGGGUACAAUUUAAACCCUUUAACGAGUAUCUAUGAGAGGGCAAGUCUGGUGCCAGCAGCCGCGGUAAUUCCAGCU
rnacentral:rRNA from 1 species